rnacentral:rRNA from 1 species
GAUGAACGCUGGCGGCGUGCCUAAUACAUGCAAGUCGAGCGAACGGACGAGAAGCUUGCUUCUCUGAUGUUAGCGGCGGACGGGUGAGUAACACGUGGAUAACCUACCUAUAAGACUGGGAUAACUUCGGGAAACAGGAGCUAAUACCGGAUAAUAUUUUGAACCGCAUGGUUCAAAAGUGAAAGACGGUCUUGCUGUCACUUAUAGAUGGAUCCGCGCUGCAUUAGCUAGUUGGUAAGGUAACGGCUUACCAAGACAACGAUGCAUAGCCGACCUGAGAGGGUGAUCGGCCACACUGGAACUGAGACACGGUCCAGACUCCUACGGGAGGCAGCAGUAGGGAAUCUUCCGCAAUGGGCGAAAGCCUGACGGAGCAACGCCGCGUGAGUGAUGAAGGUCUUCGGAUCGUAAAACUCUGUUAUUAGGGAAGAACAUAUGUGUAAGUAACUGUGCACAUCUUGACGGUACCUAAUCAGAAAGCCACGGCUAACUACGUG